UGUCUGUCGAAAGCAGCAAAAAGCAAGUAUGGGUACUUCUCGGGGAACCUGCUGCACCCCCUCAAAGACGGAUGACUCCACCCCAGCUCCUACUCCACCUGGAAAGGCAACAAAAGCCAAGGACAUGCCUGUGACACGUGAGACUGGGGACCCCAGCAACCUUAACUUGGCACCAGUUCCGGGGAAGAGGAAACCCUCUCUGACACUCUACCCUUCACCCAAGGGUGGGCUCCAGCCCUGAGGACGUCACGUACUUCACUGUGACCACCCUUCUAUGAAACUCCUAUAUAUCCUGGCACCUCCCUUACCUCUUUGGAGCAGUUCCCCAGAGUCAUCUGAGAGGCUGUCUCUCGGGCUAUAGUCUUUAGUAAGGUCCCUGAAUAAAAUGCAACUCGCGACUUUUA